CCUUACAUGGUGAUAAGGGGUUUGGCCCUGAUAGCCAAGGAUGACUUGCCUGUGCAUGUCCUCCCUUGAUCGCUUGCAUAAUUUCAUAUAUGCAUGUGAUCUCGAUUUAUCACAGGCAGUCUCCUUGGCUAGCCUGGGUGCCUCUUAUCCUCCAUGCUAGGCCU